CCCACCUCUGACAUCCUCUCUAUACAUUAGUUACCCAAUGUUACAGUAAAGACUGUCUCCAAAUCAGUGUUGCAAACAAUUUAAAAAGCAUUCAUGUUUCCUUGUGUCUUCUUGAAGAAUUGCCUCAAGGGCUCUUUUGCAGUUGCCAAAUAAAGAAAAACUUCUACCUGCUGGUUUACUAUCACUAUGUACGUAUCAUGAACUGAUUUCCGAAUGGGAAGCUCCUUCAAUAGCCUUUGUUUUCUGUGGGUAUGUCAUUAUAUCAUUACUGUUACAAUAAUACUGUUACAAGAACCAAACAUAUUCCUUUGUGAAUUUACACCUCCCAUUUAGGAGGAGCCCUUCAGCUGGAUGCAUUCAAAAACUGCUCAUGUUUCUCAACCAGUUUAUAGAGUGUUCAUCAAUAUAUGGCAUAUGGAAUAUGAAGGCUUAUAACGCCUCUAAGAUUUUGGAUGUAGAUGUUGGAAAAUCUCUAGAGCCCAAAUGGUAGUCUGUUGCAGCCAAAGCUUUUAAACGGAGUUCUAAGUGUGGGAACUGAUGCCAUUUUGGACCUCUCAAGUUGUAUCAUAACUUCCUUCAUUAAAAGGUAUGGAAUCUUCCGAGGAAGGGUGUGAGGAUCUUUGAGAGAGAUCAAUGGAGAUUUACCAGAAUGCAGCUGAUGUGUGACCAUACAAGCAAGUCUGAGCAUGGUGUCGAGGAAGCUGUUAUCAUUCUAACAUUCCAGAACACUCAGAUGCGUGCAUCUUUCAGCCCCCUCAGCACAUACAGGGCUGGUUGUUUGGUGACAAAAGUUACCCCAUCGAGACCUGGCGGAAUACACCUUUCUACAGAUUCACACUGAAUAGAGGUUCAACGCUGCACAUCCUUCCACAAGGCCCACUGUCAGGAGAUCAUAGGCCUCUUGAAAUUGCACUCACAUGCUUGGACAAGUCAUUGUAGUAUAUGAUAGACAAACUGUCCCCCAUUGUCAUGGUUCGCAACAUGGUUGACUCAACAAAAGGCAGAUUCAGAGGCAGAGUUGAGGGAUCAAGAGGAUAUGCUGGUGAGCAAGGUGAAAAUGAGGAAGAAGACAGGAAGAAGACAAGACCAAAGUCCCAUGAUUCAGAUGCCCAUGACAAACCUCACAGCCACCCAUUUCCAAGAUGACUGAGCUCCAUGACAUGUUUCUAUUAAUGAUUUCUUUUUCAUACGCAUGUUAAUUGGGAGACCACUGCUAUGCAACAAUAUCCCAUAGACCGUACAAGAUUU